UAGUCAUAUGCUUGUCUCAAAGAUUAAGCCAUGCAUGUCUAAGUAUAAGCAAUUUAUACUGUGAAACUGCGAAUGGCUCAUUAAAUCAGUUAUAGUUUAUUUGAUAGUACCUUACUACUUGGAUAACCGUGGUAAUUCUAGAGCUAAUACAUGCUUCAAAUCCCGACUUCUGGAAGGGAUGUAUUUAUUAGAUAAAAAACCAACCCAGGCAACUGGUUCAUUGGUGAUUCAUAAUAACUUUUCGAAUCGCAUGGCUUUAUGCCGGCGAUGGUUCAUU
rnacentral:rRNA from 1 species